rnacentral:rRNA from 1 species
CCCUUAGAUGUUCUGGGCCGCACGCGCGCUACACUGAUGCACUCAACGAGUCUCACCUUGACCGAAAGGUCCGGGAAAUCUUCGAACUUGCAUCGUGAUGGGGAUAGAUUAUUGCAACUAUUAAUCUUCAACGAGGAAUACCUAGUAGGCGUGUGUCAUCAGCGCGCGUCGAUUACGUCCCUGCCCUUUGUACACACCGCCCGUCGCUCCUACCGAUUGAAUGGUCCGGUGAAGCGUUCGGACCGUGGCCUUUGGACGGUUCGCCGUCUGUUGGCUGCGGGAAGUUCGUUAAACCUUAUCAUUUAGAGGAAGGAGAAGUCGUAACA